CACCACUCAAGCCUGGCUUGGUAUUGGGCGCCGCGGUCCGCCGCGCGCCUUAAUGUGUCCGGCUGAGCCGUCCGUCUCUAAGCGUUGUGGUAACCUAUCCGCUUGCGAGAUUGGGGGCGUCUGGCCGUUAAACUCAUUCAAA
rnacentral:misc_RNA from 1 species